UACGUAGGUGUCGAGCGUUGUCCGGAUUUAUUGGGCGUAAAGCGCCCGCAGGCGGCUUGGCAAGUUCGAGGUGAAAUCUCCCGGCUCAACUGGGAGGGUGCCUCGGAAACUGCCAGGCUUGAGGCAGGGAGAGGGAUGUGGAAUUCCACGUGUAGCGGUGAAAUGCGUAGAGAUGUGGAGGAACACCGAUGGCGAAGGCAGCCGUCUGGGCCAACACUGACGCUCAUGCACGAAAGCGUGGGGAGCAAACAGG
rnacentral:rRNA from 1 species